rnacentral:rRNA from 1 species
UACGUAGGGUCCGAGCGUUGUCCGGAUUUAUUGGGCGUAAAGAGCGUGUAGGCGGCCAGGUAGGUCUGCUGUGAAAACUCGAGGCUCAACCUCGAGACGUCGGCGGAAACCAUCUGGCUAGAGUCCGGAAGAGGAGAGUGGAAUUCCUGGUGUAGCGGUGAAAUGCGCAGAUAUCAGGAAGAACACCCGUGGCGAAGGCGGCUCUCUGGGACGGUACUGACGCUGAGACGCGAAAGCGUGGGGAGCGAAC